rfam:HIV-1 isolate 01TZA355 from Tanzania gag protein (gag) and truncated pol protein (pol) genes, partial cds; and vif protein (vif), vpr protein (vpr), tat protein (tat), rev protein (rev), vpu protein (vpu), envelope glycoprotein (env), and n
UUUUUUGGGGAAAAUCUGGCCUUCCCACAAAGGGAGGCCAGGAAAUUUCCUU